CUUGCAAAGCUGUGCCCUCGAAAGGAGAGUAAUGUAUCACUGUUUGAAGCCAGGGGAACAAUUGGCUACGUUGCUCCAGAAGUUCUUAGUAGAAGCUUUGGAGAAGUUUCACACAAGUCCGAUGUGUAUAGCUAUGGAAUGAUGAUAUUGGAAAUGGUUGGAUGCAAAAAUAACCCUGAUGCUGGAGUGGAUGAAACAAGCGACAUAUACUUUCCGCAUUGGAUAUACAAACACGUUGAGCAGGGCAAGGUGUUUAAAUUGCCUUGUGUUAUGAGCAGCAACGAAAAUGAAAUUGAAAUUGCCAAGAAGAUGGUUAUUGUGGGCUUAUGGUGUAUACAGACUCAUCCAUCGUAUAGACCGGCUAUGAAUAAGGUUAUAGACAUGUUACAAGGAAGCAUUGAAGCCUUGCAAAUCCCGCCAAAGCCUUUCCUCUCUCCUCCAAGAUUAUCUUCAAUGGAUUCUUCCUUCACAUCCAUGGCUUAGUAAUAGUUAGUCAUUAAAUUAAACUAUACGCCAGCUUCCUUUUUUGUGGUUCAUGUAUUCUAUUAGUUUGUAAAAAUUAUAUAAUCAAAUAGUCAACAGAGGAUAUUUCAUAUAUGUGGUUCAUGUAAUAAGGGGGCAUAUUGAAGAAAUCGUGUUUCUCGUUUAGAUGUUCUCCAUCCUGAUAAAAUUCACGAAAAUAAGCCUCGUUGCUCUCGUUGCACUUCUAGAAAAUAACAUGAUGGGCCUCUGCUGAUAUCAGGCCAAAGCCCACUACAGAAAUCAAAGCACAAAGGCCCAACAUUUUCCAUUUCACCCCAAUAGAAAAAAAAGUUUAAGACAAGUUAAUCAUGCCUAGUUGAUGAAGAAAAACAGUGAGCUGGAUAUAUGAAGACAGAUUGAUUUCUGCAUACAUAGUACGCAUUACAACGAAGGCUCUAUGACGUUCGGAUUAAGGGCAAGAUGAUCCACGGUUAGAUUGAGAGCAUAGGUUACUUGGAGAGCACAAAUUAAGGUACUUAAUAAAUUCCUAUCGUAAAAAAAUUCAUUAAACAAUGAACUUUUACAAACAAAAGCAUGGUCUCUACACUUAAAAAACUUUAACUCCACUAUCACUUAAGAGAAAAUUUUGUAACUAUAAACUGUGAGGAAAAGAGUUCAAAAGGGUUUAAAAAUCCUUUUAACCACCCGUAAAAUAUCUUUAAUGACAAUCUAUUAAUUUAAUUUAAAAAAUUCAAGUGGAAUUUAAAUAUGAGGUUUUUUUUUUUUUUGGAAAAGAUCCAAAUAUGAGGUUGAACAAGUUAAAUUAAGGGAUCUUUAUUUCUUGACUUCUAAGUUAAUUAGAAAGUUGACUAUCUUGUAUUGUCUAAGUUUAGGAAUGGUAAAUGCCGGCCUAUUUUUUAUCGGGCUCGGCUUGGUCAGGCUUGGAUCAUUUUUUUUUUUCUUUAAAGUUGGGUCAAAAAACCCGAAUUUCAUGUCUUAUAUUUUUUUUUAAAAAUAUAUUAUCUUUUACAAAUUUAUAGUUUAAAAAUUAUUUUAUUAGAUUAGGUUUUAAAAGUUGGGUUUAAACAAUUUAAAACUUUAAAUAUAUGUUGUACAUGGGUUAAAUGAAUGUUAAAAAAGUUUAUUUUGAUUAAAAUAAAAAACUUUGUUUUAAAUUUUUUAAUUUACUUUUAAACCCAGCCUAAGUGCAAUUUUCUACCAACUGCAGAAUGCUUUUUUAUUAUCAUUUUUUUAAGACCCCGAUAACAUUGGACAUUAGUUAAUUAACUCAUAUUUCUUUCGAUGCCACUCUUAAUGUAUAAUGUAUGCUUAACUCAUAUUUCUCUAAAUGCCACUCUCAAUGUAGAAUGUAUGCUGAGAGACUUAGGUGGCAUUUGUUUUUUUUAUCUGAAAUCUGAAAUCUGAAUAGACCUGAAUUAAUCUGAAUUCUGAAUAGAUCUGAAAGUCUGAAUAUGAAUAAUAUGUUUAUUUUUUCGUCUGAAUCUCAGAAAAUAAGUAUUAAAUUGUUUUUUCAACUUAAAAAGCUGAAAAUAUGUAAUUUUACAUUUGUAUCCUGAUUAAAUUUGAAUGUCAAAUAAAUAAUACAUUAAAUACCACAAUAUUUUUACAUUUAUAAGUAAAACUAUAUUCAAGUGAAUACAUAAUUAUUUUAGAAUUUUAAUAUAUAAAAUAUCAUAAUUUUCAAAUUUUAUCGUAUAUAAUAUAAGAAAGAAAAAACAUAGAUAUUUUUAUGUGGGGUAAAUGUCUAUGUGUGAGUUUUGGGAUAGAAAUGAAAAAUAAAUUAUAAAGCAGAGAUAUUUUUGACAUUAGUAAGUAAUUAACUUAAUUCAGAUUUUUCUAUUAAGUAAAAAGUCAAAAAAUUAGCUUAUUUUAUUAAGUCAAAAUUAUCUAAAAAGUUUCAUUAAGUUAUAAAAACUAAACACCUCUAAUUAACUUAAUUAAUUAAGUUAAGUCACUUUAAGUCAUUAAGUUAAAAAACAAACGCUACCUUAAUCAAAUUUUAAUUAUUACCAAAAUUAGACGCUUUGUUUUCUUACUUUUCUGAAUUUAUUUUGAUAAAUAUACUUCCAAAAUAUUGAUUCAGUGACAAGCCCUAGAGUUUGUGGGCUCUGGGCCUCGGGCCUAUUCCUUACUUAAUAUUUGCUCCAAAUCCCAAGAAAGGAUGAAUCCAUCAUUUCAAAACCACCGCAAUCAAUUGAUUACAUCAUCACUUGCGUAUUAAAACUAAAUUGAUGAAUUGUCAGAGUUUAUCAGCCAUUCAAACAAGACUUCACAGAUCCAAAUACUAGGAAGCAAGCAAAGGAUUUCAAGUCAACUCUUGUAUUUGGGCAAAUUCUCUCAGUUAAUUACUUCAAACUGGACCUCGUUUACUUCCAAUUUCCAUACCUUAAGUCAACAACUGAAAAGAGUUGGCUUAUUUUAGUAAAUUAAUGGUGGCACUAUCCUUUAGCAGCUAAUCUGUCUUUGAAAGUUUCCUGCUGAAUAAUCUCGUGUUAAUCAAUUUGUGGAUCAUGAGUUCCUCUAUUUUCAGAAUCUCUCUUUUCAUCCUUAUGUUCAGCCAGCUUCGAUUCCCACUAGUUUUCUCAGGAUAUGUUAAUGUCUCUGAGGAGGCAUAUUCCAAGUGUUCUGCUUCUUUCAGCUGCGGAAUUUUCACCGGUAUUGGCUAUCCUUUUUGGAGAAACGAUCAGCCUGAUUAUUGUGGUCAUCCAGGCUUCAAGCUUGAUUGCCAGGGAGAAAGAGCCACCAUUGAUAUCAAUUUCCAGAAGUAUGAUAUCAACGAAAUCUAUCAUGAAUCUCAAGUCCUGAGGAUUGCAAAAACAGAUUUCAUGUUGAACAUUUGUCUUGUAAGCUUUAUCAACAGUACUUUGGAUUUCAAUCUCUUCGAGUAUACACUCAGCGACCAAAACGCCAGCUUGCUUUACGACUGCGAUCAUCUGACUGAAGAGCAACCACGGAAACAGGAGUUUACAUGUCCAAUAGACAACAGGCCCAGUGAAUGUUACUUCACCGCGCCGGCAAUUUCAAGUGAUGAACUUUCAAGGAGAUGCAAAAUCAGUCUCCUGAUACCAGUCCUGGAGAUUUUUGCUGAUCAUUUUACAAAUUAUUUAAUGACUAUUGAUCAAGUUAUAAAAGAAGGUUUUGAGGUUAGGUGGAUUAUAGACCAAGAGCAAUGCAGGGAUUGCCUUAUUUCAGGAGGGAAAUGUGGAUAUAACAGGACUAUUAAUGAUUUUACUUGCUUUUGCCCGUAUCAACCUUCGCCAAGGACAUGCUUCAGGAUGCAGCCACCAGCAAACAGUGCCGCCGCUAAUCCUAGUACAGCUCCAGGUAUGCACACACGAUACUUCUUUAUUUAUUGAUUUAUUUUUAACCGAUACAAAGGGAUAUAUAUACUAUUUUAAUUUUUUCUAGUUUUUAAGUAGCUACCGAGCUAGUUAUGAGAGAUAAGAUUGAUGAGAUGAACCAGCACCCUUACCUCCCAAUAUUAUAACAAAUAAUUAAUAAUUAAGACUUCUUUUUAAAAAAAAUAAAAUUAUACAACAGUCAGAAUCCAGUAAAAUUAAAGUGUACAAACAACCCAAUAUAUUAAAGUAUACUAUAACUGAAGCCUAGUAUAAUAAUAAACUCCCACAAUAAUCCUUCACCUUAGAGUUUAGAGGAGGCACUAUAGACUAAUAAAGGAGUUAUUGGUAAUUAAAAAUUAGGACCAGAUAUAUGAGAAUUAAAAUCCUCUACGUACGAAUCUACACUCUGAAGUUUAAUAAGCUUGUGCUAUGCCGCUAUUCAUAUGGUUUAGGGGACAUUACUUUUGGGUACAUCAGUCCUCAGCCAAAGCCCAUUUGUUUAGGUGAUAUGGAAAAGCAAUAGAAUACGAAGAGUUAUAUUAUUCUUCCAAUUGCUUUUUGAUUCAACUAAAGAAUUAAAAGCUUCAAUCGAUUCUGCAAUUUCGAUGUAGCUGCGAAUGGGUCCAAAGCUUGUUGACAGGAGGAUCGGUUAGGCCAACUUUUGUUAAAAAAUUUAGCCCGAUUUGCAAUCCAAGAUCCAACCCAUAUAUUUACGAGUUUAUCGGCAAACCGUCUCUAAAAGUCAAGAGUCAACCGCCAUUGGAUUUCAGUCUGGCUCUCUCGUGGAAAAUUCUAAUGGGGUUCUUCACCUUUAAUUAAUUUAUUUGUCAUGGGAACUAGCUAGUCUAUACGUUAUAAAAUUUUCUACAAAUUGCUUUCGCAGCUGCUUUUCAAAUUAUAAAAAAAUUGAUUUCUUCAUUGAAAUGUUGCACUAGGCAAUUACCUCUUCAUACAAGCAAACAAAACCCAUAUAAUCUUACCAAGUCUUCGUUUCUUCCAAAGAGAUUAUAGUUGUACAUAACCAUGAGUCAUCUCUUCCCUCCGCCAAUUCUCAACUCUAUCCUCACCUUCAUGAUCUGCAUCUUGAUUGCCGUUCCUGCAUCUCAUGGCGAUGGCGAUGGCGAUGUUGACGAACAGUACAUGUCAUGCAACAGCUCCCACUCGUGUGGGACCUUACAGGAUAUCCGGUAUCCAUUCUGGGUACACAAUAUUAGGCCUCAGUUUUGUGGUCUCCGACGUUUCGAGCUCCAAUGUCAUGAUAAUGAGUAUGCUACCAUAGGAAUCGGACAUCAAAGUUUUCGAGUUUUAGAGAUUAACAAUACACAUCCAAUCAUGAGAAUUGUUAUAGCUGAUUAUGUGGGUAGAGAUUGUCUUGAAUCAAUUCGGAAAUCCAGUAUCAGCGACCCUCUAUUUAAUUACACUGAGAAGGUUCGAAACCUCAGUUUAUUCUAUGAUUGCUCCGGUGAUUUCUCCUCACAGCUGGGCAACAAUAAGUAUAAAUGUACCUCAGAAGGUGGAGUAGUUAUAAGAAGCUUUUACACGGUCGACAACAAUGAUGACUCGCGGCUUCACAAUCUUAGCAAUUCAUGUUCCAGUGUUGUCAAAGUCCCCAUACAACUGACACGUCCCAAUAUUCUUUAUCUUACGGAAGGUAGAUUGAUCGAGGCUCUGAAUCAAGGGUUCGAAGUGAGAUAUGAUGCGGAAGAUAAGCUCUGUUCGACAUGUACUUCUCAUCAUCCUCGAGGGAUAUGCGGAUCUAAUCAGUCUUCAGAUGAAUUUUCGUGCUUUUAUCCUCCUGGUAUGCAUCUACGCCCUUCAUUUUCACACAGUUUAUAAAAAAUUGGGUUUAAAAAUGAUACCAAACAACUUCCUACUGGAUAUUAAACUGUGUUUAAGUUUAAAUUUCACAAUAUUAGACUAUCUAAUUUAAGUGGAAACGGUGUUAAAAAAAAAAUUAAGUGGAAACGAGGAAGGGUUAUUCAGUAAUUUGGUGGAUUCUAAAUUCUAAGAAACUUUUAGAAUAUAUCCAAAAUACAUAUAUAUAGACACGGUUAUAUUUUCUCUUUAAUUUAACAGCUGUCCUAUUGGUCGAAUUAUACAACAGUUUCUUGUUCAUUGUAAUUACUUUUCUGGGUCUUUGUUUAUUUAUUAAAUGAGAAAAAGUCACAUCUAAUGACUGGUCAAUGGUCAUGAUCAUCGUAACGUAUGUAGUUGAGUGGGCUUUAAUUUAAUUGGGUGUCUGGUGCGAUUUAGUUUAUUUCCACGUCAGCGUCUUUGAACAUGUCAACCGUCUAGUUUGCCUUCGCCGGUAGGCCCCUCCCCCUCCGUAGCCAAUGUGGUUUUUGUUUCGUGUCCAUUUAAAUUCUGUCAACAUUUAGAUAUUUUGCUCUACAGUUUAGAAAAACCUGCUCUUAUUCUGUGUGUGAGUGUGUGUAUUUCCAAAUUCAAGUUUUCCAAAACGGGGUUUUAGAGAAAGGAAUGAAAAAUCUUCUACAGCUGUUUAGUUUGACCACAAUUUGGGCCCAAUACUGAUCACUCCAUGCUGAUUAUUCAACCUCAGCUCAAAUUGAAAUUCUUGCUAUUUUUGGGUUUAAUGGUUAAUGGUUAUGAUUCUUUUUCGGAUUUUUUCCUCUCUUCGUUUCGCGUACGUAAUAAAUUUGUGAUUGUUUAGGGUUGAGUCUAGAAUUUGGAAAUAUAAAAUUUAAGAGAUUGACCAAUUAGGUGAAGAGUUUUGUUAUUUUUGUAAGUCAAUUACUCUUUUCUUUAUUAGCCUAUAUAGAGCGUGACUUAUGUCAAGAUUUAAUUAGACAAUUGUAGGCUCUAUUGCAGAAUUCCUCAAUAGAAACUUGACACCUUUGCAAUCGCGCACUUAAGCAUCAUUGUUAAUUUACAAGAUAUGAUUUAAUGAUUUUCUCUUACGAGGAAAAAAAAAAACACUAUAAGUCUCUGUCCUUUCUAAUAUCAUUUAUUGUAAAUUAAACAUAAAAUUUUCUAAGUAUCUAAUCCAAAACAUACGUAAUAACAGAAAUGAUAAUGAAGACGUACCUUAAUCUUAGAUCUUUGAGAUCUGGGCAAUAGGGAUGGCAAUGAGGAGGGGAGGGGAGGGGACCAAUCUCUCUAUACCCAUCCCCGAUAUUUUGCGUAUGUCACCGUCUCCUCCCCGUCCCCGUCAGAAUUGUUUGAGAGAAUCCACAUCCCCUCCCCGAAUAAUAACAGGGGAUCCCCGAGGGUCCCCGGUCCCCGAAUAAUUAAUAGUCUAAUACAUUUUUUUAUUUUUGAUUUUAAAUUAAUCAUAUUAAAAUAAAAAAUUCAGAUAAAAAUAAAGUUUAAAAUAUAUCUUACAUUAAUAUUGAUCCAUUACAAAGUCACAUUCAAAAUAUAAAUUAUUAAAAUAAUUAUCUUUGUCAAUGUCUCAAUCUUCAUAAUCCUACAAUAACAAGAAAAAAAAAUUAUUUUUUAUAUCGGCAAUAAAAUAAAUGAAAUGAAUGUAGAUACUUAAUUAAUAUUUUUAAUAAAACUAUUUACCUCAUGCUCGUCCUGCUCGUCCUGUUCUUCCUCGAGAAAUGUGGCAAAUUGAGAGAUAGCCUCAGAUUUCAAACCUGAAACAAUGAAAAUGAUAUAAGUAACGUAACUUAUAAGUGCAAAUAUUAAUAAUUGUAUAAUAUAAUUACGAUAUAAAAUAAACUCAUACUGCUAUUGUAAGCUCGUAACUAUAACUUUCUCAUCCAAAUAUGAAUCUAAUUCAUCUGCAACAACUGCACAAUCUCCAUUGUUUACAUAAUCAUCAAAACUUGUCAUCCAUUUGGUUGCUUUCUUAUAAGAAUCUCAUGUAGAUCUAGUAGAAGAACUACUACCAGUAUAAUCAAAGCAAUAAACAGUUGGUGAAAACUUCAAUUGAUACUCUUCCACUAAUUUCCGGCAAAGGGUGACCACUUUCCCAACAUACAACUCUUUAACACCACCAUAAACCAUAGAAAAGUAAUAUUCAAUGAACUUCUUUUUAUACCUUGGAUCAAAGAUACAUGCCACACCCAAAAUUCCACUCAUAUCUUGUCAAUAUUUAUAAUUUUUUUAUUUAUUUAUUAGUAAUUUUAAAAAUAAAAAAAAAAAUAAAAUUAAAAAUUAAAAUGGGGAAAUGGGUAGGGGAUGGGGAUUCCACCUCAUCCCCGUCCCCUCCCCGAAUAAAAAAUUGGGUAAAAAAUUUUCCCCAUCCCCUCUCCGAAUAAAAAAUUAAGUAUAAAAUUAUUACCGUAUCCUCCCCGAAUGAGAAAAAUCCCCGAAAAUAUCCGUCCCUGUGGGGAUUUUUGCCAUCCCUACUGGGCAACAACAUUAAACCUAUAAAUCAUUUUCAUCCUCCCUCUAAGAGUCAAGCCAACCACAACAGUUACUCUCUUUUUGUCCACACGUUUUCAUUCAGCCAACCAAAACUCAACAAGUCGCGGAGUGAAUCAGAAUCAUUAAUAUUUUGACAACAAAAAUGGCCCCACCUGCUUACUCACAGCACAGGACUUCAAUCGUUAUCCUCAUCAUUUCAUUUAUUGUCUUUAGCUCUAUGUAGGAUUAGAUGACGCAUCUCUAAAGAAUAGCUCAUAUAACCUUGUUUGCUUCUGGUAGUGGAAAUGAGAUGCUAAGAGUUUGAAUCUCUCUUAAAAAAACAUUCAAAGAGUUAAAAAAAAAAAAAAAAAAAGACUAGGACUAGGAGAUUUUCUCUUGGAUAGAAUUUUCUAACAUCCAUAAGAAUUUUUAAAAUAUUUAAUGAAUUAUUGAAACAGCUUAAUAGCCCACAAGCUGAUCUCGCCCAUAAGCUGGCAUCUUUGCUUUCUUUUGGAUCUUUGUUUCCCACUUGGUCUCUUUUCCACUUUCAAACUCACAUCACACAAUUGAAUUGACAAUAAAAUAUACAAGCUAAACAACUAAUAAACUCAAAAGCCUCCGCUGCCAACCACUACCAACCACAUUAGAAUUUUCUUCCAUUAUGCUUCUCUCCAUUUGCUUCCGCUUCUUCUCUUCUUCCCUUCAUUUUCCAAAUCCAUAUGGAUCUCCAAAACAUCUUCAUACUCAAAAUAACUCUUCUUCGAUGUAUCAUCAUCAUCAUCACUUUUGCCAGCCACACCCUUUCUCUUGACCCCAAAUUCAAGGCUUGUGCCCCAAGAACAUGCGGCAACGACCUCAUAAUAAGCUACCCUUUUUGGAUUUCUGAAGAACAAGAACCUGCUGUACGGCCAAGGCGGAUGUACGGUACAGCAGCCGAUUUUUAUUAUAAUGAUUAAAUUCCCAAAUUCAUAUGAGAAUUUGUGAUUUUUUUUAAAGGUAGAGGGGUAGACAAACCCAAAUCAAUUUUUAUCCACCUACUCUCUUGGUGGCCAACUAAAUAAAACAGUUUGAACACCACUCUGGUCUUCUACUACCCUUAUUCCUUGUAUUAAUUUAAUUCUUUUCAUUGAUUUUGAAUAACUAAUCUGUGUUGACUCCAUUUGAGUCUGUAUAUUUUUUUUCAUUUUCACUCUUUGCAAAAACAGAAAAUGUCCAUGCCAAUUCCCCACGUCUCUUCUAAAGCCAAGAAGACUUUCCAUAGCUUUUUGGUCUCACUCGUGGAAAAAUCAAACAAUGGUGCUAGGUAGACUGUGAGGCAAGUGGUGGACGCUGUGGAUUCAGUAAUAAUGAAUUUGUUUGCUUUUGCCAAGAUAGACCUCAUCUCAAAGCAUGUGAUGAUGGUAACUCUUCAGGGCAUUCGCCUUUUUUUUUUCUUUUUCCUUUUGCUGGAUCUUGUUUCUUCAUUUUUAUUUGCUUUACUAUGGUUAUCAAUAUUACAGCCAAUUCCAGUUCUAUUUUUGCUAUUUUGUAUCAUUUUGUUAUAAUGUUACUAUGAUUCUAAAAUGCUUUGCAUUUGAAAUGUGGAUAGCUUUGAGAAUCUCAUUCAUUCAGUAAAGUUCGAGUUCUAUGAUUGGAAAUUUAGAGAGAACUAAAGGUUUCAGGCUUGGAAGAAGAAAUUCUUUGGCCCCCUCAAGUUUCUUGGCCAAACCAGAAUAGUAUUUUCUGUUUCUCUUGUCUCAUUUUCUAGUUUCGAACUAAAAACUUUCUAUGACUUUUGAGCACUAAACCACUCGGGAAAGGGGUAUUACUUAUGAUUCCUAGCUAUUAAUCAUAUUGUUCAUCAAUGAUGGUGCAAGAAAAUUUGUUCACAGGCUCAUAUUUAAGCUUUCCUUUUGUUCCUUUGCUCAUGAAUGCUCUUACUCUGUUUCAUCUGUUCUAAAAUUAUAUUUGACCUUUUGUUUUAAAUUUUGUACGUAAUCAAAGAAAGCUGGAAGUUUAUUUUGUCAGUCUGCGAAUCUGUCAUCGGGAAACUGAUAUUUGGACCAGCUCAUCUUCUAUCUUGAUGUUAUUGAUAAUUUUAUAUUACUUAAUAUAAGUUGAUCAUAGAUUAGAUUACAGAAUUCUAAUGCAGCUUCUAGUAAAUAUCAGUUCACCAACGCCUGUCAUAGUGCCUGAAUUUUGUGUAAUUCCAACUCAAUUGGAAUUGAGGUUUUGAGUUGAUUUGAAUAUUAAUUUCUGCAUUGACGUAAAUGCAAUUUCUGAAGAGGUUAUUUUACAAUUAUAAUUUUUUUAAUAAUAAUUUGUGCCGUUGUAUUGUUCUAAAUCUUCACUGACACAGGUGGUGGUGCAAACUUGAGACUGAAGGUUGGUAUAGGUAAUACACUAUACGAGUCCUCCAUUUGUUUCAGUAACAUAUACAAACACAUGCAUCAAGAAUUGAUAAUUGCUCUCACUACUGUAAACAGGAGUUGGUGCAGCUUUCGGGGGUAUGGGCAUUAUGGCUGCAAUUUUCUUGAUUUAUCUACAUCGUAAGAAGAACAAACAUUCUGCUUCAACUCUGUUAUUUCGCAACACAUCGUCUGAACCCUCAUCAAAGGUGGAUCUUGAGAAUGGAGGUAUCUAUCAUGGAGUUCAAGUCUUCAGCUAUGGUGAACUCGAAGAGGCCACCAAUUAUUUUGAUUCUGCCAGAGAACUUGGUGAUGGAGGCUUUGGCACUGUAUAUUAUGGUAAGUGUCAAGACCCUAUGUUCCCAACUUUCAUUAAUUAUUUCAAUGAACAAGUUAAAGGAAAACUCCCAUUUUAAUUAAUCAGGUGAACUCCAAGAUGGGCGAGCUGUUGCAGUCAAGCGUUUAUAUGAAAACAAUUACAAAAGAGUUGAACAAUUCAUGAAUGAAGUUGAUAUACUAGCUCGCUUGCGCCACAACAAUCUUGUCUCUCUUUACGGAUGUACUUCCCGUCACAGUCGUGAACUCUUGCUUGUGUAUGAAUUCAUCCCCAAUGGCACAGUUGCUGAUCAUUUACACGGGGAACGUGCCAAGCCUGGUGCCCUACCUUGGCCUACACGUUUGAAGAUCGCCAUUGAGACAGCAAGCGCAUUGACAUAUCUUCAUGCUUCUGAUAUCAUCCACCGUGAUGUGAAGACCAACAACAUUCUUCUUGACAACAACUUCUGUGUUAAAGUUGCAGAUUUUGGACUUUCCCGUCUCUUUCCAAAUCAUGUCACCCAUGUUUCGACUGCUCCACAGGGGACUCCAGGAUAUGUUGAUCCCGAAUACCACCAAUGC
rnacentral:lncRNA from 1 species